GGGUUGCCUGACUCCGUCUAAAUCAGCCUUUGAUGUAAUUUGGAGACGCGGGAGCAAUUGGCUGUGCUUUGCGCACUAAACGCAUCGCGCGACCCCCUCAUGGCAGCCCCUCGGCAAGCACACUGGGCGUCGGAAGGCGCGUGUCACCGCGCGCCCCAUUCUAUUUGAUUUUCUGCUUUUCAUGUUUAUACAGUUCGACUUUACUAGUCGUCGCAAUGCGCAGGUAUCCGCGCCAGCGACCGCCUAACCAAGCGGGAGCGGCACAGCCAGUUUGACUCCCUCCAUCGGUGGCACCUCUUUCCACGAGUGUUCCCGACGACCGUCGAAAUCCCCCGAGUCGCCUUCCCUCCGGAUCAUCUCGAGGGGCAUGCAGAGGAUCCGAGGCUCCUUCUCUGUCCUCGCCGGAGGACCUUCGACUUGCAGCCUCAGUUCGUCACAUGCAAACAAAAUCUCCACUUUUUGAAAGAGAACAACAGAAGGUUGUGCCAGCAGGCGUUGAUGGUGGAGGCUCUCAACUCAUACAGUGACUCUUUGAUUGUGCUGAUGCAGUGCGCUAUGAUGAAUUCCUGCCAACACUGCCCGACGAUAAACUGGAAGACUGAAUGAAUGCGGUGUUCACGGAGCAGCAGGCAUGGUGGGCUGAAUGGCGUCUUCCUGUGUGCAUCUCCUUGUGUUCCCUUUGUAUACAAUACUACGAGUCACAGUUUUCCUUUAGCCAUGGUUUAUAAAAUUCAUCAAAAAAUGAUGUACAUUCUGUCGC
rnacentral:lncRNA from 1 species